AAAAAAGAGAAAAAAGAGAAAAGAAAAAAAGAAAUGAACAAAAAAGAGAAAAAGAGAAAAGAUAAAAAAAGAAAAAUGAUAAAGAGAAAAGAAAAAAAGAAAAUAGAAAUAAAAAAGAGAACAGAAAAAUAUGAAAAAAAGAAAAAAGAAAAAAAGAAAAGAAAAAAACAUAGAUGAAAAAAGAAAAAACAAAAGGAAAAACGAAUAAUGACAAGAGAAGAAAGGUAAAGAGAAAAGAAGAAAAAGCCAAGUCAAAAAGUAAAGAAUAACUCGAAGGAAGGAGUGGAUGGCAAGAAAUACAGAGAAAGCAGUGCAUAGCACAGCAGAGCAAAGCAAGGCAAAAUAGCAGCCAAAGCCACGAGAAUCAAGAAGUCAGUGAAGAGCAGGAAAGGAAUGGAGGAAUCUGUCCAGAGCUGUGCCCCUGCUUGCCACAGGAGCUGCGCGGGAGGAGAAGAACGUGGGCCAAAAGGUAAGAGGAGCUCCUUUGGGUUCUGGGCUUGAAGCAAAGCUGAGAAGCCAUGCCCGGGAGGAGGUGUGGGUAGCUACAGGCCACCUUGCUAUCUCCCCAAGAGAUGAGGUGUGUGGGCUAGGCACCGGGCAGGGUGCUGGCCAGAAGCAAGCAUCUCUGUGGAGGAAGGCAAAGGGCGGAGGAGGUUCAAGGGUAG
ensembl:lncRNA